GUGCUUCUGAGUGCUUAUUGCACCACAUGUGUUUUUCUUUGAAACAAACUUGCUUUGGCGGUGGGCCCAGCCUGCCGCCAGAGGUCUAAACUUACAACCAAUUUUUUAUCAACUUGUCACACCAGAUUAUUACUAAUAGUCAAAACUUUCAACAACGGAUCUCUUGGUUCUCGCAUCGAUGAAGAACGCAGCGAAAUGCGAUACGUAAUAUGAAUUGCAGAUAUUCGUGAAUCAUCGAAUCUUUGAACGCACAUUGCGCCCUCUGGUAUUCCGGAGGGCAUGCCUGUUUGAGCGUCGUUUCUCCCUCAAACCGCUGGGUUUGGUGUUGAGCAAUACGACUUGGGUUUGCUUGAAAGACGGUAGUGGUAAGGCGGGAUCGCUUUGACAAUGGCUUAGGUCUAACCAAAAACAUUGCUUGCGGCGGUAACGUCCACCACGUAUAUCUUCAAACUUUGACCUCAAAUCAGGUAGGACUACCCGCUGAACUUAAGCAUAUCAAAAGCCGGAGGAA
rnacentral:rRNA from 1 species